rnacentral:tRNA from 1 species
AAUAAUUAAGCUUUGCAAUUCAUUGUUACUGAAUAGAAGAUAAUAUAAAGUUUUAACUG